rnacentral:misc_RNA from 1 species
UUAAUUCUGGUAGAUUCAGACACAGGGUCAAUCGCAUUAAUACGACGCUUCCGCGUCGAAGCACAGCUAGUUCCUCGGUUUUAAGGUCGAUGGUUCAUCAAUGAUCCCUCCGCAGGUUCACCUACGGAGA